UGGACUGUGGCUCAGUGGUAGAGCACUUGCCUGGCAUGUGUGAGGCACUGGGUUCAAUUCUCAGCACCAA
rnacentral:tRNA from 1 species